ACCCGCUGAACUUAAGCAUAUCAAUAAGCGGAGGACAAGAAACCAACAGGGAUUGCCCUAGUAACGGCGAGUGAAGCGGCAAAAGCUCAGAUUUGAAAUCCGGCCCUCUACAGGGGCCUGAGUUGUAAUCUGCAGAGGAUGCUUCGGGGGUGGCACCGGUCCAAGUUCCUUGGAACAGGACGUCCAAGAGGGUGAGAAUCCCGUUUGUGACCGGCCUGUCGGCCCCCGUGUGAAGCUCUCUCGACGAGUCGAGUUGUUUGGGAAUGCAGCUCAAAAUGGGAGGUAAACUUCUUCCAAGGCUAAAUACCGGCCAGAGACCGAUAGCGCACAAGUAGAGUGAUCGAAAGAUGAAAAGCACUUUGGAAAGAGAGUCAAACAGCACGUGAAAUUGUUGAAAGGGAAGCGCUCCCGAUCAGACCCGCCUACGGGGGCUUCGUUAGCCGUCUAGGCUGAUGUACUCCCCCGCUGGCAGGCCAGCGUCGGUCGGGGCGGUUGUUGAAAGACCUUGGGAAUGUGGCUCCCCCCUCGGGGGGAGUGUUAUAGCCCUAGGCGGUAUGCAGCCAGCCCCGACCGAGGUCCGCGCUUCGGCUAGGACGCUGGCAUAAUGGUCGC
rnacentral:rRNA from 1 species